rnacentral:lncRNA from 1 species
AACUCGCUUAGCGAUGUUAUGACCUUGCGCUCAUCCUAUUCAACAAACUUUUAAGAGAGAAACUCCAACUCUCAAUUGAGGCGGCACCACCUUGAAGUUUGUUUAGAUGAAGUUCUUUCAAUACCUUUAUUACUUUUAGAGGUACUUGUGUUUUAACACUAAACUUCAUUAAGAGCUUUAAUACUCAACCCUCACUUUAGUAACAACCAGCAUUAUUUAAUUAGGAUAAGGUUAUCGCGGAUUUAUAUAAUGUUGCAACUAUCCACAUAUCGAAUGACUUGUUAUUACCCUUUGAACCCAUGUAUUAUCUUUUGAGUAAUGACGGGUAGGGUUGCUAUCAUUGGUGGACCUUUGUAGUUUAGGAAUUUCAACCCCAUCCUACUCGAAGUAGAUGCCACUAAAAUUUUAUUUAGUGGUCUAAUUAAAGGAUCCGCUACGUCUUUACAGAAAUUAUUCCAUCUUUGCUAAUUUCCUUUUUAAGUCACGUUUAAGACUUACAUGUCUCGACUUUUCAUUUCAUGUGACUUAGUAUCUUAUCAAAGUAUAGCUAGCCAACGAUCGAUUCAUUUGGUAGAUACAAUUUGUCACCACCAAGAAGCCACAUGCUUCUCACUCGCUUUAAUUAAAGCUUUAUUGAUUUUUUAAAACACUUGUUGGAUGAUUUCCAUUAAUUCAUUACACUAGUCCAUCACUUCUAUUUGUGGAUUUUCAUACUUGGGUAUUCACUUAUUAUCAUUAAAAUGAUCUUCAAUGAAUAUUCUUUAAAUAUUUCAUUGGUUUUGCAAGCGCCACAAUCGGCCUUUACC